rnacentral:sRNA from 12 species
CGGACUGGUCGAAUAGAUCUUGGUCCACCCUGCGGCGGGGAUAUUCCCC